UGGCUGAACUGUCCUGGGAAGGUCCUGGAAAGGUCCGUCUGUUUGCUUUCAGAGCAUGGAAACAAGCCUGUAGGGAGUGUUUCCCGGAGCCUGCCUCGUUGUGCGCUGGCCUGAGAGCAGCGGGACUCCAAGCCCGGCUUCCUGGAGGGAGGUGGUAACGCAGAAGUCCGUGUGGCCACCACCAGAGACGCAGCGCGGGCCGCUGUACCCGCAGCACGGACGGCGAGUGUCCCCAUCUCACCAACGCAGCCUGUGGGGUACCCGGGGAGGGUCUGGGAGGGAACCGCAUGCGAGCUUACAAAGUUCCCGGUGUGACGCAGACCGAGCCCUCCGUGCUGCCCUUCAGGCUCCCCGCACCCGGACAGCCCCACAGGGGCUCAUCCGUGGUGACCAGGGCGGUGGGGGGCUGGAGGGCAGGUGCGCCGUCAUCCUGAUACCCCCACCCCCCCAGUCCAAGCACCUGCCCGGUCUGACUGCUCAGAGGCGCUGUUCCGUAGUAGUUUCCGGCAGUCCCACCUCCAGGCCAGGCUGGAGAAAGAAAAACACAAUCUCCCCCGCCCCCCCCAAGUCCCCAGGACGCGAUUUCACAGCGCACCGAGGUGCACGCGCACAACAGACGCGCAGUCCUGCAGAGUGGCUCCCUUUGAGUCUUGCGAGCUGCCCCCUUGUUCCCUCGUCCCUUCUCUUCCCGUGUGGGGCCCAUCUGAGAGACGGAGUCCGGUGUUGGUGACACCGGUGUCGGCCUCACGGCCAGACUGCGGUUCUUGGAGGAGGCCAGGUUCACGGUGAGGCCCAAACACCUUCACGGCCCCUACAGCCUCAGUGAGUGGCAAAUAUAAUGGAGACUUGGUUCUACCUGGGAAGUACCAGCCCUGCGAUCAUCUCCUUGUAAGAACUUUGCUGCCCUGUGACCCCAGGGCUCUCCGAUCAGCUCUGCAUCAAGGCCACUUUGGUAUUGGCCCUGGAAGGGUGUACCCUACGCGACAACCCACCCGCCUAUGUCUAUCACAUUUGUCUUCUUCGGAGGAUGGCAUCAUGCGUGUGUUUUACACUCCCCUAUAGGGAAAGGGGGCUGAUUCAGAAUUUCUCACCGAGUCUGCCAAAGUUCUGCCAGCUUCGGGUCCAGAAGAAGUGAGAAAAUGAUAAUGCGAACCGUAAGCCCAUGCCCAGAACGCGGACUGGCCCAGAAAGCCCCCGGGCCUCCUGCUUCAGCAGCCAGCCUCGGACUCGCCUGCCUCGGGCAGUCACGACACCCAGGCUAACUCAGCCCUUCGGCCCUGUUCGGGCCUCCAAUUAUACCUCCAGCGCCCCCCACCCUCCAACCUGUUCUCCCCCAGGCCUGGGAUCCAGAAUAUCGGGCAUGAGCCGGAAAGGUGUCAGUCUUUGACCUGUGAGGAUGUAGCUUUGACUCCUGGACGAGUGCCUGCUGGUGUAGCUGUUCGCCCCGAGUCAGGGGCAACCAGGAUUCAGCUGUCCGUGGCUCAGCCUCUCUGUCAUCCACUCCAGCCCCCGGCCCCUUCCCAGGAGCACCUUUCCCUGACAUCUUCUAGCCCUUUGCUACUCCUGUUGUGGUGUGCAGACCAGCGGCAACGGCAUCAUCUGGGAGCUUGUUACAAAUGCAGAAAUGGCAUCACCUGGGAGCUUGUUACAAAUGCAGAAUCUCAGGGUCUUAGACCUGCAGAAUCAAGAUUUUGCAUUCCGACAAAACCCCUCGAUGAGUCACAUGCACAACCCUAGGACACGGGUUCUCAAACUUACCUGCCUAGUGAAAUCUCUAAGAAAGUUAUAAGAAAGGGGGCACCUGGUGGCUCAGUUGGUUAAGCGUCUGCCUUCGGCUCAGGUCAUGAUCUCCGGGUCCUGGGAUGGAGCCCUGCAUUGGGCUCCCUGCUCAGUGGGGAGUCUG